rnacentral:rRNA from 1 species
UACGUAGGGUGCUAGCGUUGUUCGGAAUUAUUGGGCGUAAAGCGCGCGUAGGCGGCUUUGCACGUCAGCGGUGAAAGCCCAGGGCUCAACCCUGGAAUUGCCUUUAAGACUGCAUCGCUUGAACAUCGGAGAGGUAAGUGGAAUUCCGAGUGUAGAGGUGAAAUUCGUAGAUAUUCGGAAGAACACCAGUGGCGAAGGCGACUUACUGGACGAUUGUUGACGCUGAGGUGCGAAAGCGUGGGGAGCAAACAGG